GACUGCCUACGGGAGGCAGCAGUGGGGAAUAUUGCACAAUGGGGGAAACCCUGAAGCAGCGACGCCGCGUGAGCGAUGAAGUAUUUCGGUAUGUAAAGCUCUAUCAGCAGGGAAGAAAAUGACGGUACCUGACUAAGAAGCCCCGGCUAACUACGUGCCAGCAGCCGCGGUAAUACGUAGGGGGCAAGCGUUAUCCGGAUUUACUGGGUGUAAAGGGAGCGUAGACGGCUUUGCAAGCCAGAUGUGAAAGCCCGGGGCUCAACCCCGGGACUGCAUUUGUAACUGUGUGGCUAGAGUGACG
rnacentral:rRNA from 1 species